UGGCAAUUCCCUGGAGAAACUAGGGGUGAUUCUAUCAUAAAAAGGGGUGGGGGAGAGUAGAUCAGGCAGACACAAUCACUGGAGGAGGACAGUACAGGAGAUUUACAGGAAGAAGAUCUGUGAAGAGGUUUGGGAGGAUUAAGAAGGGAAAGCAAUCAGUCAUUUUUCUAAAGGCCUGUCUGCAGGGCUGGGACUGAGCACAGGCUGAAACCAAGGUUGGACAUCUCUCAGCCCUUUGCAAGCCCUCCAGGCCUAGCAGUCUCCAUCUGAUCCCAUAUUGGAAAUGGGCAUGGAAGAUGCCACACCUUCUCAAGCUUUCCCUAGGAAAAGGGGUGGGUGAACUGGCCUGAAGAAUCUGAGGAUGGAAGAAGGUCACCUUUGCUCUUCUCCUGGGUUCUGGAACCUUCCUAACCUGCUCUGCUCACCUGGAGCCCCAGCCCACUGUCACCCCUGCCCUCAUCUCCAGACUCUUCUUCCAGCAACUAGGCUUGCAAAGCAGGGAUGGAGGGAUGGAGCGCCAGCUUCUGUGUCAAGCAGAGCAGGCUGCACUCCCAGCGCCCCGGUGCCUCUGGCUCUUGAGGCUUGUUCCUCAUCUCUAGCUCCACAGAGUUGUCCUGAGGCUCACAAUGGGAAUACAUCAAUAAAUUACCUAUUGCAUUAAAAUGAGUUGUUAUUAUUAUCACAAUUGUUAUAGACACUUAAACCUGAAGGCAAAUAAAUGAUUUUUAGCUGCAAAA